AACGAACGCUGGCGGCAUGCCUAACACAUGCAAGUCGAACGAAGGCUUAGGCCUUAGUGGCGCACGGGUGCGUAACGCGUGGGAAUCUGCCCUUGGGUUCGGAAUAACAGUGAGAAAUUACUGCUAAUACCGGAUGAUGACUUCGGUCCAAAGAUUUAUCGCCCAAGGAUGAGCCCGCGUAAGAUUAGCUAGUUGGUGAGGUAAAGGCUCACCAAGGCGACGAUCUUUAGCUGGUCUGAGAGGAUGAUCAGCCACACUGGGACUGAGACACGGCCCAGACUCCUACGGGAGGCAGCAGUGGGGAAUAUUGGACAAUGGGCGAAAGCCUGAUCCAGCAAUGCCGCGUGAGUGAUGAAGGCCUUAGGGUUGUAAAGCUCUUUUACCAGGGAUGAUAAUGACAGUACCUGGAGAAUAAGCUCCGGCUAACUCCGUGCCAGCCGCCGCGGUAACAC
rnacentral:rRNA from 1 species